AAUAGUGAAUCACUAGUCACUAUUCAGGUUGACUAUUCACUAUUUGGAUCACUAUUCAGGAUGUGAGGCACCAAGGUUUGAAUCUAGUCAAAGGGAAUCAAGAAGAUGCUGUGUGGAGCUGAUUGGUUACUUUGGGGCAUGGACAGGCUGGCUGUUGCUGUAAAGGAAGAGCAGCCACGACCAUGCACCUAGACUGAUCUGUAGACAGAUACAAAGGAGCCUAAGAAAUGCACCUAGACUGAUCUGUGGACAGAUACAAAGGAGCCUAAGAAGAACCAAUCAAAGCUCAGCCUUGGUUUGAAUUAAAGUGAGCCAGCUUAGCUCAUCCAAUCAGCACACAUCACUCAGAUCACAACAAGACCAACUCAUCCUCACCAUCCAUUCCCCUUAAGUUAUUUCUAUCCAUUAGAUAUAGGUUUAUGAGUUGCAAUGAUGUAAAGCCUAUAUAAGGAUGUGUCUUGGACGUUUUGUAACUCUUAAGAG
rnacentral:lncRNA from 1 species